GGUAACGACCCCCUCCCCUGCUCUCCGCCUUCCCGCCUUUGAACUCCAAGCGGAGCGAAGCAGCCAGCAUGCUGUUGCUUCCUCGCCUAGUUCUAGGUCCGUAGGUUGUGCGAGCUGUUUGAUAUAUGCUACUAGUAGCCGUAUAACCAGGAUGGAUUGCUGUUGCGUCCGGAUGAGUUCCUGUAGUUGCGCAUCGCAAAAACUGAUUACCGACGGAUCUCAUUGCCGCCGCGUAUGAGACGAUGCCACAGCGAUCCGCCCCGCCGUCGCCGUUCUCUAUUGGGCUCGCUUCUGCGGUCCAGUGGGUGAUGGUGGUGUACAUUGCCUUGCGAUCUUACGUUUCCGUGCAUUCAUCAGGGAUUUCACUGAAUAUUAAAAAGUUGCUAACUUGUUAGCUCUUUCUUCUGAUUAUUGUCCUACACAGCUUAGGUGCUGUUAUUUAGCAUUACAGUAGGUGAUUGCUGUCGUUGUCUGCAAAGGCAUUGUUUCGUUGGUUAUUCCUGUACACAGCUUAGGUGCAAAAACAUUGUAUGCUUCUAAGAUAAUUUGGUGUCCUCAGAAACUAGUGUUGUUGGCUAGGUUUAUAUGUUGGUUCUUUUCUUCUGGCUGUAGUUUCAGUUGUUGGAAUUUAUAUUUCUUUCUCGUUUUUGCUGCUGUUUCUUGGAGGAGCAUUAUUGAUGCAGAUGAGGAGACGCUAGUUUUAUGGGUAAUUUGCGUCUGAGGCGUCUCUGUGAUGUCACACCCUUUUCACCUUGGAGAUCUGAUGCAUCCUAGAUAAUAUCCUUAUUCUUUGGUUUUUUAAUGUUUGAUUCGUUUGGGUGAGAUGAGGAUAUAAUUACAUUGUUGAUGGAUGAUAUGAUGUCCAAUGAAUCAUGUAUUAGCUCUAUCUGAUCAUACCCAUACAGGUUUUAUUUGUGUCUUCAAGAAAGAAAACUUUGCCGUUUUGUCUUUUUUCUUAUUCUUAAGCAGCAUGUUUUUUUGAAGGAGUUGUCGAUGCAGAUGAUGAGACACGAGUUUAUGGGUAAUUUGCGUCUGAGGCAUUUCUGUGAUGUCAAACUCUUUUCACCUUGGAGAUCUGAUGCAUCACCCUGUCAAUGUCUUUUGUGUUCUCUGUACUUAUAUUUCGAAAAUCUUUUUGUUUGGUGUUUUAAUUGGCGAAAGAUGAAAUGAUGAAUGAGAUUAAUUUCCCUAUUGGUUUGAUUGGCUGACAUGAUAGCCUAAAUACUGAACCGAAUCUGAUCAUCCUGCCUUCUCCUAUGUACGAAGAGAAAUGAAUUUGUUUUAACCUUUUCUAGUUACAAGGUUAUGGUGGUGUUUGUUGCAGAAUUGUACCAAAAAAAUGAUUCUAUUGUAGUUUAAAACUAACAAAGUUAGAUCAAUUCAAAUAGAAACUUUGUUUUCUAAUUGAAAUGGGCAUAGUUGAUGCAAAUGAGGAGACAUGAGUUUAUGGGUAAUUUGCAUCUGAGGCAUUUCUGUGAUGUCACACUCUUUUUCACCUUGGAGAUCUGAUGCAUCUGCCCUCACUGUUGUACUUCUCCUUGUUGGUACUUUUCCUUUAAAAAAAUAUUUAAUAAUGGGUUUAGUAGGCGGGAGGUGAGAUGAUGAAUGAGAUUAAUUUCCCUAUUGGUUUGAUUGGCUGAUAUGAUGGCCUCAAUACUGAACCGAAUCUGAUCAUCCCCUUGCCUCUGAAAAGUCAAAUAUGUUUUUACUUGCCUGGCUUUAUCAUUGUUACCAUUGCUUUGUUCCAUAGUAAUUUCAUCUAAUCAUUUUCUAAUUUAAUCAGCGGAGGUGAGAUGAUGAAUGAUUAAUUUCCCUAUUGGUUUGAUUGGUCAACAUGAUGGCCUAAAUACUGAACCGAGUCUGAUCCUCAUCCCUGGUUUGAUAAGAAAAAGUAAUGUAUUAUUUUAGCUUUCUUCUGGUUUUGAAAUGUUGUAACUCUGCCUUGUAUGUUGGUGUCAAAAAUGAGUUUGAUUGUUUCUUGCUGUCUUCAGUUUUUAAAAAUUGUUGCUUCUGUUUUUGGGAUGAGUGUUGUAGAUGUAGAUUAAGAGACAAGUUUGUGGGUAAUUUGUGUCAGGUAUUUCUAUCAUGUCAAUGAUCUUUUCACCUUGGAUAUCUGAUGAAUUGUUGAUGCUGUUCACUUAUUUUGAUUUCUUCCUUUUUGUUUCAUUUAUUUCUAACAUCUACUUGGAUCUUGGCUUCUAUUUUUUUGCUUUCUGUGCUUCUAUUUCUUUCUUUUGCAUUUUUAUCAGGUGUAAUUCAAGUACUUGUGGUUCUUCUUGUUUAGAGUUGAACAUUUGGUGGUGCAAUGAUUAUAAACCAUUCCUCGUACUGAUGGAAGAUCCACUUGAACGACUCCUAUACACCCAUAGAAUCUGAGCACCAACAAACCAUGCAUCUUCUGCAUUUUGUCCUGAUAGAACAAAACCCUGAGGUCUGUUUUGCAUUUGGACUUUCUGGUUUGUUACCUUCAGAGUUGAUAUUUGAUUGACAUUAGUUCUGUUGUCCUGCUCCAUGACACCAAACUUGUUCAUAAGCGUUUUAAAUCUUGUAAAGAGUUAUUCUUGUGCAGUGAUUAUAAAACAUUCCUCGUACUGAUGGAGAUCCACAUGAAUGACUCCUAUACACCCAUAGAAUCUGAGCACAAAUUAACUAAUUGAUCUUGUUCCAGGUCUACUUGCAGUUGUUAUCUUCUUGCCUCUCUCAAAUGCUUUAACCUGUUGAGAUUCUUCAGCUGAUGAUUGGUUUACUAGUAAGUGUUUUGUUUGUUGGUGGCCAAGGAUUAAUAUAAAUUAAUAGACAAGCAUAUGUCCGAAUUUUCUUCAUGUGGACCAAUCUAAUCUUCUCUAUGAGGCCGUUAUCAUGCUCAUUUAUGUAUCUGUAGUUUAUUUGAUGUUUUUUGUGGUUGCAUGAUGCUGAUGAUGAUUAGUGUGAACCUUUCUCAAUGAAAUCACUCAUGAUUGCAUAACCUACUGCCUUCCUUCUGAGGCAUCAUGAUUCCAGGAAUCGUUCUUCUAUUUCCUUUGAUUUUGUUUUGUUUCUCUCUUGAUUGCUGGUUGCCUAUGUUGAAUGAUGAUUACAAGUGCAUAGUUCAUAUGAUCAAAUCAUGAUUACUUGAACAAAAAUAGUCUUUCGCUCCUAUCUGACGACCUUUCAUCCUCACCUUUUUUAUGAGAAUCGAACCAGUUUUUGUCUGCUCUGUUUUGCAUUUUACAAGGACAAUCCUGCAUUAAUAUCAAACUUAGAGGACGGUGAAGAUUGAUAUUUGGUCUCGUUCGUCGUAACUGGCAUUUAUUGCCUUGCCGACCAUCCUGCUAUAUCACCACCCAUAUUCUGAGUCCUUAUAACAUUUACUAUCGGUGUUUGACAUGCCAAUCUUUUUAUGGUGUUUGUCCUAUGAUUAAACUGAACUACUUGAGAAGCAAUUUCCAUUUGAAUAAUAAAUAGUGAAUUUUUUAUUUGCUUGGAUUUGAGCAGUGAUGAGACAAUUGAAUAAAUAUGAUCAUCUAGGUGUGAUUAUCAAUCGCUACGUUCUUACUGAGCUCUUAUCUUUUUACUUUUGGCGGUUUGAUUGCAAGAGUGUAUCGGUUCUUCUAAUUGUUUGACUUUGAUUGCUAUUGUACAACAUAUACUUGAUGUUAGCAGUGAAAUUCCAAACCUUUUUGAGGAUGAUGCCUACAAUUUGUCGCUCCACGCUUAGGGUCGCCAUUGGUGGAUCUAUGCUGAUUGACAUAUUUAUGAAUCUGACUCUCUUACAGUUAGUUCUGUUUUCUUUCAGACUUGUUUUAUUCCUUCUGUGAUGGCAGUGACGAUUUGCAAAUAUUCAAGCUCAACAGACCAAAUCACAGGUUUUCUCUUAGGAGUUAAUUUGUAUGCCGAAUAUCCCGCUGAACUGAGCCAUCCGAUACCUGAUUUUAUAAUCAGUUCAUUGUUCUUUUCUCGUGUUCCCUCUUUUCUGCUUCUUUUUGUUGGAAGGAUCUUGCUCAUUUCUUUAUCUAUAGUUUUGUUUAGUUUUUUUGUUUGUUUUGGUGCACAUAGUUGCGAUGAGGAUAACAUGCUCCCUCUUCUGAAAGAAUUGACGACAUUGCUGGCAGAAUCGAACCAAUUAAAUAUUGCCACCACUGAGCAACUAUGUGUCUUGAACAAUAUUUCUUUGCUGUUAUUGAUCGUUUGCUUCUUUUAACUUCCAGUUAACUAGAUUUGUUUGGAUUGUGAUUAGGGAUUUCGCUUCUGGUGAAGCAGCGAGUUCAUGAGCAAGUGAAUGAAGAGCAGCGAGUGAAGUGCAACAGUCAUAAUGAUCGAUUAUUGAGAAGCAAUGGUGAAGCAUGAGAGUGCUUAUCAGCAAUGUUGAACAAGCGUCCGUUGCCACCUGAAUGAAUGACAAUGAAAGAAGGGCAGACUACUUGGAUAUGAAUAUGCUUCUUGUUAGAAGACCAUCGACCAGAUAUCCUGCUGUUUGUUUACAUGUUUUCUGUAGACUUUGGUGUGUGCAUGAAGAUUUCCAGAAUCCUUGUUUGGUCGACGAUGCUCCUUUUAUUUUUGUUAAACAUUUCUAAUGGAUUUGAGUUCUUUCUAAUAAAGUUUGUUUUGGCUCA